rnacentral:lncRNA from 1 species
AAAUAUCAUUAGUUCUUGAUCUAUACAUAUUUUGACCAAUAAUAAAACAAAAGAUGCCAUGAUUAUAAAACAUAAAAUUUAUGAAUUUAUAUUUAAAUAAACUUCAUCUAGUUUUAAAUAACAUAAAAUUUCAAAAACAUCAUUUAAAAAAAAAUGGAUAUAGUAAUUAAUUGAAAUCAAAUUUGUUUACAAGUCUAUUUUUAUUAUUGUAAAGAAUAAAUAUAAACAAAAAAUUAUAUGUACGUAAAAUAAAAAGUUGAUAAAUAAUUAUUAGUUUUUGGAAAUAAUUAUUUUAAAAGCAUUUGAAGUCUUAGCCAUUUUAGUUUUCAUGUAUAUAUGGUUGCGAAUUUUGUUUUAUAUUAAACUCCAAAUAUUUUAGAAUUUACAUGGCUUUUCCCUUGACUAAUUUAGUAAGAAAACAAGAUAGUAAGAUACAAUAAUUACAAAUGAGAAACAAGUGUAUAUAUUGUAUAUAACUAAUGGUGUUGGAAUCAAUUUUUGAAUGCAUGUAUACACAUAUAAGUAUCAUACAUAAUUUAGAACAUCAUGAUCCUCUAGAGCGAAAUAACAUCGCAAUUUCUUCUCCUUAAUAUCAGCACACCUUUUCUAUAAUAGAGGAAAAUAAUCAUAUGAAGUAUUACCCCUUAUGACUUACCUGUGAAGGUUGGGGAUGUCCUUUUCU